GGAGAACGGAAGGACGCCUGCGGCCUACGUCAACUUUUUGAUUUGGAAUAACCUCAUAUUUACAAAGACAAUUUGCAAACAAACGGUGCUGGGAAAACUGGAUGUCCACGUGCAAAAGAAUGAAGUUGGACCCUAACCACUGACAAGCAUACAGUUCAGCGGUUGUCAGUGCAUUCACACUGUUAUGCAACCAUCCCCAUCAGCCAUCUUCAGAACCUGAUCUCAUGACUGUAACUCUGAGCCCAUGAAACAAAUCCCCACCCCCACUGCCCCUGGCUGCCACCAUUCUACAUCCUGUCUCUAUGAAUUUGGCUAUUCCAAGUACCUCUUUAUCGGUGGAAUCAUGCAGUACCUAUCCUCGUGUGGCUUUUUUCACUUAGUAAAAUGUUUUCAAGA